UACGGAGGAUGCAAGCGUUAUCCGGAAUGAUUGGGCGUAAAGCGUCCGCAGGUGGCAAUGUAAGUCUGCUGUUAAAGAGUGAGGCUCAACCUCAUAAGAGCAGUGGAAACUACAUAGCUAGAGUACGUUCGGGGCAGAGGGAAUUCCUGGUGUAGCGGUGAGAUGCGUAGAGAUCAGGAAGAACACCGGUGGCGAAAGCGCUCUGCUAGGCCGCAACUGACACUGAGGGACGAAAGCUAGGGGAGCGAAUGGG
rnacentral:rRNA from 1 species